GCCUAUGUAGUUCAACGGCUAGAACGAGUGACUCAUAAACACUAGAAGGAAGUUCGACUCUUCCCAUAGGCA
rnacentral:tRNA from 6 species